AUUGAACGCUGGCGGAAUGCUUUACACAUGCAAGUCGAACGGUAGCAGGAAGAAGCUUGCUUCUUUGCUGACGAGUGGCGGACGGGUGAGUAAUGUCUGGGAAACUGCCUGAUGGAGGGGGAUAACUACUGGAAACGGUAGCUAAUACCGCAUAACGUCGCAAGACCAAAGAGGGGGACCUUCGGGCCUCUUGCCAUCAGAUGUGCCCAGAUGGGAUUAGCUAGUAGGUGGGGUAACGGCUCACCUAGGCGACGAUCCCUAGCUGGUCUGAGAGGAUGACCAGCCACACUGGAACUGAGACACGGUCCAGACUCCUACGGGAGGCAGCAGUGGGGAAUAUUGCACAAUGGGCGCAAGCCUGAUGCAGCCAUGCCGCGUGUGUGAAGAAGGCCUUCGGGUUGUAAAGCACUUUCAGCGGGGAGGAAGGGGGAAUGGUUAAUAACCAUUGUCAUUGACGUUACCCGCAGAAGAAGCACCGGCUAACUCCGUGCCAGCCGCCGCGGUAA
rnacentral:rRNA from 1 species